rnacentral:rRNA from 1 species
AUUGAACGCUGGCGGCAGGCCUAACACAUGCAAGUCGAACGAGUGGCGGACGGGUGAGUAAUGUCUGGGAAACUGCCCGAUGGAGGGGGAUAACUACUGGAAACGGUAGCUAAUACCGCAUACCAUCGGAUGUGCCCAGAUGGGAUUAGCUAGUAGGUGGGGUAACGGCUCACCUAGGCGACGAUCCCUAGCUGGUCUGGGAGGAUGACCAGCCCAAUUGGAACUGAGACAGGGUCCAGACUCCUACGGGGGGCAGCGGUGGGGAAUAUUGGACAAUGGGCGCAAGCCUGAUGCAGACAUGCCGCGGGUAUGAAGAAGGCCUUCGGGUGGUAAAGUACUUUCAGCGAGGAGGCGUUACUCGCAGAAGAAGCACCGGCUAACUCCGUGCCAGCAGCCGCGGUAAUUC